UACGUAGGGUGCAAGCGUUAAUCGGAAUUACUGGGCGUAAAGCGUGCGCAGGCGGUUUUGUAAGCCAGAUGUGAAAUGCCCGGGCUUAACCUGGGAACUGCAUUUGUGACUGCAAGGCUAGAGUUUGGCAGAGGGGGGUAGAAUUCCACGUGUAGCAGUGAAAUGCGUAGAUAUGUGGAGGAAUACCGAUGGCGAAGGCAGCCCCCUGGGUCAAGACUGACGCUCAUGCACGAAGGCGUGGGGAGCAAACAGG
rnacentral:rRNA from 1 species